rnacentral:rRNA from 1 species
AGUGAACGCUGGCGGUAGGCCUAACACAUGCAAGUCGAACGGCAGCACAGUAAGAGCUUGCUCUUACGGGUGGCGAGUGGCGGACGGGUGAGGAAUAAAUCGGAAUCUACUUUUUCGUGGGGGAUAACGUAGGGAAACUUACGCUAAUACCGCAUACGACCUACGGGUGAAAGCAGGGGAUCUUCGGACCUUGCGCGAUUGAAUGAGCCGAUGUCGGAUUAGCUAGUUGGCGGGGUAAAGGCCCACCAAGGCGACGAUCCGUAGCUGGUCUGAGAGGAUGAUCAGCCACACUGGAACUGAGACACGGUCCAGACUCCUACGGGAGGCAGCAGUGGGGAAUAUUGGACAAUGGGCGGAAGCCUGAUCCAGCCAUACCGCGUGGGUGAAGAAGGCCUUCGGGUUGUAAAGCCCUUUUGUUGGGAAAGAAAAGCAGCAGGUUAAUACCCCGCUGUUCUGACGGUACCCAAAGAAUAAGCACCGGCUAACUUCGUG